AGUUUAUGAACUUGAAUAAGUAUGUGCUUUGAAAGCAUAAAAAAGAAGAAAUAAUCUUCUAUAAGCUU
rnacentral:tRNA from 1 species